ensembl:lncRNA
GGGGCAAUAUGUAUUGAAAAAAAAAAAAAAAUUCGUGUGCUUUUUUUUCUUUUCUUUUUUUUUGCAUAGGUUCACACACCAGAAAUGUAUUUAUUAAUUUAAUGUAUGUAUUUAUUAGUUUUAGGUUAGUAUUUAUUCAGAGGCUUUGAUAAAUAACUAAAUGUUUUAUUUAUUUGGUUUUAUGUAGAGGCCUGGGGAAAUAAAUGCUAUAUUUUGAUAAUAGACAUUCCUAGAUCACUUUAUUAGACAUACUAGACCUAUUGUAGACGUUUCCUCUUUACGUUUUGCACAAGGAGCCUAUCCUUCUCUUCUAUAAUGCAGUGAGUGUUUUUAAUACUACUAUUGGAAUUGGAAUACUACUGUACUAUUGAGAACUACUAUUGGAAUUUUAGACGGUAAUGUACAAUAUUCGCCACAAGAUGUUGCUAUCAGACUAAGGACCAUAACAACAACAUCGGUUCCGUUGCCUUCCAGUCAUCAACAUCAGUUUCCUAAAACAUGGAAUUUAUUUAAGCAGGGGAAGGUUAGAAAAAACUGGUUUUAUGUCCUAAGCGUAUUACAAAAAAAAAAAAAAAAACAACAUGUAGGCCUAUUUUUGGUGAAUUGCAGGUACCUGUGAUCAGAGGUGCCGCUAUUGUUUCUGGGCCCUCGAACAGUAUAUUGACUAGGGCCCUCUUAGUAGAAAUCACUUUGCGGGGAGAGAUAGUAGCUGUCCAUCAAAUCUAUCUUAUAUUAAAAAAAAAAAAAACACUUUGGCAUAAUUUACCAACAGCUGAUACCUUACCUCAAAAGCACCAGCAUUUUCUUAAACACCAACCCAGCCCACUGGAAUAUGCGUUCAGAGACUGAUUAGCAGGUAGGCUGUACUCAGCUUAGAGUAGAGGCUGGGAUAGGUGUGUCUAACUGCUAGAUUAACACUACAAAAGAAAGAUGAUACUAGUGAAGGAAAAUAAUCUAAUCUACCCUCAACUUGUGCAUGCUUUUUCUCAGUGUAUAUACAAAUACAUCAUCUUUGUUUUUAUUUGUAAAAUGUAAUAUAUGUCCUUAUUCCAGCUCUGUUUAAUUAUACGGUAAUCAUGUAAAAUAUAAGUUUGGUACCCCUGCAGACACUGUAGUGACCUGUAAAUGGCAGAUCUCUACAUUUGCUGUUUCUGAGAUGAAUGUUAUUGAAAUUGGUGAGAUCAUGCAGUGUUUUUUGUACAGCAUGUGAAAAAAAAAAUAAAAAAAAAUUGUUUUACUCCCAAACCUGAAAGUGACCUCACAGAAAUUCACAGCAAAAAUGUUCACAUGCCCUUGACCAAGUCAUGGAAGCUGGGAUGGCUCUGUACACCACAGACAGUUUUGGAUUUAACAAAGCAAAUAGAUGAUUAAUUAAGAUGCAUUCAACAUUUUUUUUACUGUGUUAUCAUACUGAACUAUACUAUUUGGGUGAAAAAUAUGCCUACACUCCAAUGUGUUUUUUUUUCUCCAACAAAAAACAAAAAAACUAAUAAAUAAAUUCCAAACACACAGUAACAUUUGAGAGGGAAAAAAAAAUUAAAUAACCUUGAUUACCGGAAAUAGUAUAUUCACAGAUUGUGAAAAAAAAAAAAAAGAAGAAAAAAAAAAAAGUAGAAAGUGUUAUUAAUGUUAAAUACAGUGUAUUGUAAAGACAAAUUGCGUGAUGUGACCCAGGAGGAGUGCCCUCUGGUGGCUGUCAUGGGUACUCCAGCCAAUGGCUAGGCCAUAAAAAAAAAGUUCAGGAACGGCCUCCUUGGCUGUGACAAGACAGGCAGAAAGUUCAGGAGUGGGUGCCACCGCCCAGAGAGGAGUUGAACUGGACUCCUCCGCCUCAGGCGGUUCUUCACUGCCUCGGGAGGUUCUGCAGCUGAAGCCGCAAACUAGGAGGAACUGGAGCAGGCUCAGGAGCAGACUCCUGGACUAGAACGAACUCAGGAGUGAACUCAAACUUGAGUGGGCUCAGGAGUGGAUUCAAGGACUAGAACCGGCUCUGGAGCGGACUCGCAGAUUUGAGCAAGCUCUGGAAUGAAGUCAAACUUCAGAGGGAUCUGGAGUGGACUCUGAGGGCUCCCGGACUGGAGCCAUUUGACAAGUGGACUCUCUGAGAGCUCCCGGACUGGAGCAGGCUCUGGAACAACAGGAGUGGGUCUUGCUGCCCUCCUCCUUUGCUUGCAAAAUAAUGACAAAGCCUCAAUAUUCUCUGGGGAAGUUAGGUCCAACUUAAGACUCUCCAUGGGCACUGCAACAGGCACAGACUGACCAGAUGAAACCACUAAACUGUGGUAACAGAGAGAGUCAAAACCCCAAAAGUCUUCAGUCUCUCCAUCUCCCAUAGAGGCAAGGGGUACUCCAAGCAUUCAUUAAAAGUCUCGUUGAGCUCAGAAUUACAAAAUUCCAGUCCUACCGCCAAACUCCAAACAGUCUGUGCAAGACCUCCAACUCCCAUCCCAUUGACGAAGAGCCACCAACGCUCCUUCUUAGAAGCAGGAGAAAGAACUCUACGCCCGUGAUUCAAAGGUCAGUGAAGACUGGCUAGCUGCCAGGUCUGAGAUGAUGGCUGCAUUAUUCUGUCACGAAACAAUCUCAGAGUCAAUAUGAAGAUCCAAAUGCAGCAUUUAUUUUCCACAACAAAUGGUCCAAAAAACAGAGCAAACAGCAAAAAACACAAAGUAAUCCAGAAGGCAGUAGUCAACAACAUUAAAACCCCAAAGACAGGAUGACAAAAACACAGUGCAAUACUGCAGCAAACUAAGAUUAACAAAAACACGGUACUUAUAGGGACACUAGCAAGAAUUAAUGACACACACCUGGAAAACAAUGAACCUGAUAGACAGAGCAAAGGGUGAUGGGAAAUGAAGUCCACAAGCAAUAACAGAGACCCUGGAGGAUCGCCCUCUGGUGGCUGUCAUGGGCACUGCAGCCAAUGGCUUGUAGACCCUUCAUCUUCAAAUGAUCUGCAGUCUCCAAAUGACCCUCAGUUUACUUUACUUGACUGAGCCUGUGAGAAAAUAUUCAG